rnacentral:rRNA from 1 species
UACGGAGGGUGCAAGCAUUAAUCGGAAUUAUUGGGCGUAAAGGGCGCGUAGGCGGAUUUGUAAGUCAGAUGUGAAAUUCCAAAGCUCAACUUUGGAGCUGCAUUUGAAACUGCAAGUCUUGAGGGAUGGCGGAGAAAAUGGAAUUCCACGUGUAGCGGUGAAAUGCGUAGAUAUGUGGAAGAACACCGGUGGCGAAAGCGGUUUUCUAGCUUUUUCCUGACGCUGAGGCGCGAGAGCAAGGGGAGCAAACAGG